CCGGCGCCUACGCCGAAUCCCAAAAGCGCGCAAAACGCCGGACGGGAACCGGGGACCCACGUCCCAAUGGGGUGAAUCCGCUUCCAGAAGUGGUAGGGCAGCCUCUUUCGCCCGAACCCGUCAGCUAACCCGGUAGGCGGUCAAAGAGGAAGA
rnacentral:sRNA from 2 species